GAAAUAAGCACAGGUCAAGCAAGAAUGAGAUGGGGUCGCUAAUAUGAUAAGAUAUUUUCUGUCAAAUUAGUGGCAUCCCACUGUUAGCUUAAAAUUGAAUAUCAUUAUUAUUCUUUUGAAGGUAGUAGUCUUAUAGUGCUUUCAAAUAACCUUAAGGUGAUAUUCAAUGCAUCAAUCUAGUUCUGCUGGAAUGAGGGUGUUAUGGAUUUCCUAUCUGCUAGUUGGGGGCAUUGCAUGUUUCCCUGUGGAGAACGAAUCUGGUGCUAAUACACGCUUACUGCGGCAGCCACUUUCUUGGAAUUUGUUCAGUAGAAUGGGGGGAGGGUCUGACCCAGGCAGCAGCCCCCAUCUACCAAGUGUACCUAACCCAAGUUCUCACAAAGCCGCUGGAGAUGCAGCUUCUCAAGAUGGUAUAUCCAGUGCUGGCUGGGCCAGUUUCAGAAGCUCGCCAGCUGUUUACCGCAGCAACACUGCUGUGGGUAAUGUGUUUCACGGGGGCUCCGCUAGUUUUGGAGAUGGACUCUACAAUAGUCCUGAGGUCAAUGUGUAUGGGGUUGGUUAUUAUGGGAAUGAUCGUAGUGCUCCAGAUGGUAGCUUGGAUAGUGCUCAUAUAGGUGACAGUUGGACUUCUGAACCGGCAGCUGGCUAUGAUACCAUCGAUGAAAUCCCUAAGCCAGUCUUCAAUGACGUGUCCAAUCUGGAGCCUGUCUACUCUUUUAGUUCUCAUUCAAGCUACCAACGAGGAAGAACCGUAUUUGCUCAAACCCACUUCUACCCAAGGCUGCAUGGUCCCCAACACAUGCUAGUACGUAUCAGCAAAAGUACUAAGCAAAGUCUUCCUGACAAAAUUCCAACUAAAAGGGCCUUCUGAAGUAUCUGUGGUUUUAUGUUCCAAAAGACUUGCUGCUGAUUCUGUUCAAACGGAUUCUAAUAAAAAGCCUUCAUUUUUAUAUAUAUAUAUAUAUAUAUAUAUAU